rnacentral:snoRNA from 10 species
AGCUGUGAAGUGAUGAGUACUCAUGUCUCUUCUCUGACUAAACACCAAUGGAGAGAACAUAAAACACUUCUGAUCUCAGCA